UGGCCAUGGCCACUCUGACUCCUUCCUACCCUCAUGAACUAGUUCAUAAAACAUGGCUCUAGAUAUCUUUGGAGAACAGAGAAAAGCACAAUAUAUAAAUACCAAGAUUGCCUCUACUGGAGACCACGAGCUCCUGGAACAUACGUUCAGCUUAACAUUCAGGCAUAGCCAGAAGAAACUCCAUCUGAUGUCUGUUCUCUAGCCAAGAGGCUAGUGUGUGAAGCAAGAAAUGAGAGGCAAGUCUGAGAUGCCAAGCUCUGCAAAGACUUGCACUCGUUUGUCCUCCUCAGUGACAGUGGCUCAGCUUGUCUGAUGGGAGCCUUGCUAUCAUUCACGAAACUACAGAAAUCAUGCUUU